rnacentral:rRNA from 1 species
GAGUUUGAUCGUGGCUCAGGACGAACGCUGGCGGCGUGCUUAACACAUGCAAGUGGAGUGACGAACCGGGCUUGCCCGGGGCAGAGCCGCGAACGGGUGAGUAACACGUGGGUUACCUGCCGUGAUGACUGGGACAACCCGUCGAAAGACGGGCUAAUACCGGAUGUGCCCGCAAGGGGAAAGGAGGCUUCGGCUUCCGCAUCGCGAUGGGCCCGCGGAGCAUUAGCUUGUUGGUGAGGUAACGGCUCACCAAGGCUUCGAUGCUUAGCUGGUCUGAGAGGACGAUCAGCCACACUGGGACUGAGACACGGCCCAGACUCCUACGGGAGGCAGCAGUGGGGAAUCUUGCGCAAUGCGCGAAAGCGUGACGCAGCAACGCCGCGUGCGGGAAGACGGCC